rnacentral:rRNA from 1 species
UACGUAGGUGGCAAGCGUUGUUCGGAAUUAUUGGGCGUAAAGGGCGCGUAGGCGGUUUGUUAAGUCGGCUGUGAAAGCCCGGGGCUCAACCCCGGAGGGUCAGCCGAUACUGGCAGACUAGAGUACGGAAGAGGUAGCUGGAAUUCCCGGUGUAGCGGUGAAAUGCGUAGAUAUCGUAAGGAAGACCAGUGGCGAAGGCGAAGCUCUGGACAGUUACUGACACUGAGGCACGAAGGCCAGGGGAGCAAACGGG